UUAACACAUGCAAGUCGAGGGGCAGCAUGGUCUUAGCUUGCUAAGGCCGAUGGCGACCGGCGCACGGGUGAGUAACACGUAUCCAACCUGCCGUCUACUCUUGGACAGCCUUCUGAAAGGAAGAUUAAUACAAGAUGGCAUCAUGAGUCCGCAUGUUCACAUGAUUAAAGGUAUUCCGGUAGACGAUGGGGAUGCGUUCCAUUAGAUAGUAGGCGGGGUAACGGCCCACCUAGUCUUCGAUGGAUAGGGGUUCUGAGAGGAAGGUCCCCCACAUUGGAACUGAGACACGGUCCAAACUCCUACGGGAGGCAGCAGUGAGGAAUAUUGGUCAAUGGGCGAGAGCCUGAACCAGCCAAGUAGCGUGAAGGAUGACUGCCCUAUGGGUUGUAAACUUCUUUUAUAAAGGAAUAAAGUCGGGUAUGGAUACCCGUUUGCAUGUACUUUAUGAAUAAGGAUCGGCUAACUCCGUGCCAGCAGCCGCGGUAAUACGGAGGAUCCGAGCGUUAUCCGGAUUUAUUGGGUUUAAAGGGAGCGUAGAUGGAUGUUUAAGUCAGUUGUGAAAGUUUGCGGCUCAACCGUAAAAUUGCAGUUGAUACUGGAUAUCUUGAGUGCAGUUGAGGCAGGCGGAAUUCGUGGUGUAGCGGUGAAAUGCUUAGAUAUCACGAAGAACUCCGAUUGCGAAGGCAGCCUGCUAAGCUGCAACUGACAUUGAGGCUCGAAAGUGUGGGUAUCAAACAGGAUUAGAUACCCUGGUAGUCCACACGGUAAACGAUGAAUACUCGCUGUUUGCGAUAUACUGCAAGCGGCCAAGCGAAAGCGUUAAGUAUUCCACCUGGGGAGUACGCCGGCAACGGUGAAACUCAAAGGAAUUGACGGGGGCCCGCACAAGCGGAGGAACAUGUGGUUUAAUUCGAUGAUACGCGAGGAACCUUACCCGGGCUUAAAUUGCAGAUGAAUUACGGUGAAAGCCGUAAGCCGCAAGGCAUCUGUGAAGGUGCUGCAUGGUUGUCGUCAGCUCGUGCCGUGAGGUGUCGGCUUAAGUGUCAUAACGAGCGCAACCCUUGUUGUCAGUUACUAACAGGUUCCGCUGAGGACUCUGACAAGACUGCCAUCGUAAGAUGUGAGGAAGGUGGGGAUGACGUCAAAUCAGCACGGCCCUUACGUCCGGGGCUACACACGUGUUACAAUGGGGGGUACAGAGGGCCGCUACCACGCGAGUGGAUGCCAAUCCCCAAAACCUCUCUCAGUUCGGACUGGAGUCUGCAGCCCGACUCCACGAAGCUGGAUUCGCUAGUAAUCGCGCAUCAGCCACGGCGCGGUGAAUACGUUCCCGGGCCUUGUACACACCGCCCGUCAAGCCAUGGGAGCCGGGGGUACCUGAAGUGCGUAACCGCGAGGAGCGCCCUAGGGUAAAACUGGUGACUGGGGCUAAGUCGUA
rnacentral:rRNA from 1 species